AGUAUAGGUGACAACAAAUUUCACAUAAAAAAUGUAAACUGUUAGAGAAGUAUUAUUAAAUGAAGGUGGGGGUCAGAAUCUCUGAUUGGCUGUCACAUCUGCAGUAUUUUUGCAUAAUGCACUGUUUAAAAAUGACUAGUGUCAGGUAGAAAUGAAAGACAUCAAGUUCUUGGUAGGGUAAAGAGAAGUACCAAACCAUUCUGUGAAAAUGAGAUUAUUGGUACCAGUAAUUUAUUUAAUAUCAUGGAUAUUGUGUGUAGAAUCACAGGUGCCAGUGCUGACUCCAUCGGUUCAGUAUGUUAACCACGGACAAACUGGUACAUAUAAUUGUAAUGUGGUAGUUAAAAACAAUCAUGCUACGUGGUUCCUCCGUCAGACACCUGGAAAAGCCCCCCAGCUCAUUUUAUACCACCAUCAUACAUACACAGAACCUAAAUAUGGACCAGGAAUGUCAUCCGCUCAUUUUGGUUCCACUAUAAAUGGUGCAGGCACAGAAUAUCAACUAAUUGUAAAAAACACAGACACUCAGGAUACUGAUACCUAUUAUUGUGCUAAAUGGUAUGACAACAUUGGAUUCCACAGUGAUAUACAGCUGUACAAAAACCAAUGAAGGGCUCCUGCUUGCUAAAAUGUGCAAUAAGUUUAAUAAGUAAACAGCAUUUGACUGAGAGAUUGAAAUUCAGUCAGUUAUAUAUACAGUAUGUAGUGUUAGUGGAAAUGAUUACUUAUACGGUGCACAAUAUUCCUCAAGUAACAAUCCUUUCCCAGAAGCAAUUUAAUAAAGUGCUUUCAAUUAUCAUUAUGUUGUUUUCAAGGUUUAAAUUAAUAUUUUGUAUCUUUA